CACGUAGGGUGCGAGCGUUGUCCGGAAUUAUUGGGCGUAAAGAGCCCGUAGGCGGUGUGUCGCGUCGGCCGUGAAAACCUGCAGCUUAACUGUGGGCUUGCGGUCGAUACGGGCAUCACUGGAGUUCGGCAGGGGAGACUGGAAUUCCUGGUGUAGCGGUGAAAUGCGCAGAUAUCAGGAGGAACACCGGUGGCGAAGGCGGGUCUCUGGGCCGAUACUGACGCUGAGGAGCGAAAGCGUGGGGAGCAAACAGG
rnacentral:rRNA from 1 species